rfam:Stegodyphus mimosarum contig35538, whole genome shotgun sequence.
GCCUUCGUGGUGUAAUGGUAAGCACACUGAGCCGGUAUUUCAGAGGUCCGUGGUUCGAUCCCCGGCGAAGGCA